AUGUCAUGAUGAGGACACUUAACCAGCAUCCCCUUGAAUCUCUCCCACGUCUCUUGCAAUGUUUCUGAUAGUUUCUGCCUGAAGCUCAAGAUCUCAUCAACUU
rnacentral:snoRNA from 1 species